rnacentral:rRNA from 1 species
UACAUGUGGGGCAAGCGUUGUUCGGAAUUACUGGGCAUAAAGGGUGCGUAGGCGGCUUGAUAAGUCAGUGGUGAAAUCGUCCGGCCCAACCGGACACGUGCCAAUGAUACUGUCGAGCUUGAGUGCGUGAGGGGUGGGGGGAACGAGCAGUGUAGCGGUGAAAUGCGUAGAUAUCGGGAGGAACACCAGUGGCGAAGGCGGGCAUCUGGGCCAACACUGACGCUGAGGCGCGAAAGCUAGGGGAGCAAACAGG